rnacentral:rRNA from 1 species
UGUAUGGGAUCUGCCGAAUGGAGGGGGACAACAGUGGGAAACGACUGCUAAUACCGCAUAAUGUUGAGAAAUCAAAGCAUGGGACCUUCGGGCCAUGCGCCAUUUGAUGAACCCAUAUGGGAUUAGCUAGUUGGUAGGGUAAAGGCUUACCAAGGCGACGAUCUCUAGCUGGUCUGAGAGGAUGACCAGCCACACUGGAACUGAGACACGGUCCAGACUCCUACGGGAGGCAGCAGUGGGGAAUAUUGCACAAUGGGGGAAACCCUGAUGCAGCCAUGCCGCGUGUAUGAAGAAGGCCUUCGGGUUGUAAAGUACUUUC